AGUGGUUGGAAUUUAUCAUAUGAGUUUCAGUUUUCUGCUAUUCUACGUGCUGCCCUCAGCUGGGCACCAUCUUUCUAUGUUAUAAAUCUUAUUACCUAUUUCCCUAUUAAAUGUCCAAACUGUCCCUCUACAGAUUUCGUAUUCACAUUUAUACUGCCACCGGAGUUUUCCUUCCCUAACCUACAACACACGUAUAUAACUCUCCACCGCUUAUUCUCUUCAAAUUUUAAACCAGCUUUCAGAGUUCAGAGCUUAUAUCGCACUUCACUUUAAUUUCAAAUUAGGUCAUUGUCUCACGUUCUAAUUGGUGCUUAAAUCCGCCUCUUCACAUCUUCUUAACAAAGCAACUGAUGGAUUGGUUUAUCCGAUUAAAUCCAUCUCUCUCGCCGGAGCUGGUUAAUUACAAUCAUCUCAAGUUUGAUAAUUUUGCUUCUUUCAGGUCUGAGUUUGGUAUGUCUGCUCACAUUAUUGCUUUAUCUUGAGUUUAUUGAUUCAAGUUUAAGAUUCAGUAUGUAAGUUUUGAUUUGCCCGUAUAUGUACAAGUACAAGAAGAAGAACACGAGUUGCUCUGAAAAAAGACCAGGAGAAUGUUGCACGUACUCUUCAAAAUGUCAUUCUAGGUUCUUAUUUUUUAAGUUUCAUAUAUUUUCUAUAAAUUUGUGGUUCUUCUAUAUAUAGUUGUGUUCUAUCAAAUUUGUAUUCUUGAAGGAGAACUGAAUUCGUAAAUAAGAACCAAGAAUAUGUAGUCAGCUGUGUUCUAUAUAUAGUGGCCAUGUUAUUUAUGUAAUCAGUUAUGAACACUGGAAUGUUGUUCCAAGACCUCAAUAUUUUGCAUCGGAAAAUCUGUAAUAGACUUUAGUCUUUUAACUCU